UGGGGAAUAUUGCACAAUGGGCGCAAGCCUGAUGCAGCCAUGCCGCGUGUGUGAAGAAGGCCUUCGGGUUGUAAAGCACUUUCAGCGGGGAGGAAGGCGAUAAGGUUAAUAACCUUGUCGAUUGACGUUACCCGCAGAAGAAGCACCGGCUAACUCCGUGCCAGCAGCCGCGGUAAUACGGAGGGUGCAAGCGUUAAUCGGAAUUACUGGGCGUAAAGCGCACGCAGGCGGUCUGUCAAGUCGGAUGUGAAAUCCCCGGGCUUAACCUGGGAACUGCAUUCGAAACUGGCAGGCUAGAGUCUUGUAGAGGGGGGUAGAAUUCCAGGUGUAGCGGUGAAAUGCGUAGAGAUCUGGAGGAAUUCCGGUGGCGAAGGCGGCCCCCUGGACAAAGACUGACGCUCAGGUGCGAAAGCGUGGGGAGCAAACAGG
rnacentral:rRNA from 1 species